GACACACCCGCUCUGUCCAUGUGAGCUGAGGCUGAGACAAAAGAACCUACACCCUGUUGUUCAUAACAGCAUGCGAGUGUCAGGAAGGGUGAAGACGUGUGUUCACUACUCUCCCUUAAGAAAAAAGUCUACACUACAAAAAGAAAAGACUCAAACGGACAGAGAGGCGACGCUAAAAGCCAAAAGAUCUGACCUGUCUAUCCUCAAGCCAUAAUACUCUACUUACUCUUUGAAAAGAAAAAAAGAAAGAAAAGAAAAUAGGCUAAAUUUUUUUUAAAAAAAAGCCAAGAGUCAUGGGAAAAGGUGGGAGCGAGAUAUGGGACGGAGCGUUGGAGGACACGGUGCAAACUCAGCCUAAGAAACAGGAGGAGAAGACGACGACUAAAAGCUCAGGCAAAAGCUGUCCCAAGUGCUGCUUGCAGACAAGGAAGUGUCUGAUGAGCGCAGAGUGCGGCAGGGCCCUUCAGAUCUCCAGCGUCGUCGCCAUAUGUGGAAUGUGCAUCCGCAUGUUCGUGUAACCAACCCAUGGACUUCAGGAGCAGCUUUUUCCAGGCUGCGCUGAUUCUCAGCAAACCCCAGCACACUUCAUGAGAAUCAUGCCAUAUGGGUUUCUACUCAUCUGUGAUGAAAUUCUGUUCUUUUAGCUCAAUUUCAUCAGCAGAAGAUCUCUUCAUUCUCUAGCCACAAGUUAUUUAUUUACCAAAAGCAUUGCCUGUAUACAAAACAAACUAGAAAGAAUCAUUAUGAAUGAAUGGAGGGAUGGAUGGAUGAAUGGAUGGAUGGAUGGAUGUCCCUUUGACCUGCAUGUCUUUGUUAAAGGUCUUUUAUUUGGAUGCUUUCCGAUUGAUCAAAAAGCUCCAGUAUUUACUCAAUACAAAUGUUUACAUUAAUAUUUACAGUUGAGGCGUUUUCAAUAAUAAUAUAUAUUACGAUGGUAGUGCUGAUGUGUGGGUAAAUAUAUAUACAGUGUAACCCCAACAUCCUAUUUUUAAAUAUGAGUAAGAUGACCAGAUGGUGGGGCGGGGGGGACGACUGUGACACAUCGGAACUAAUGGAAAACUUCUAAUAAAGCUUUCAUUAACAACAAGGA